UACAGAGGUCUCAAGCGUUGUUCGGAUUCAUUGGGCGUAAAGGGUGCGUAGGCGGCGCGGUAAGUCGGGUGUGAAAUCUCGGAGCUUAACUCCGAAACUGCAUUCGAUACUGCCGUGCUUGAGGACUGGAGAGGAGACUGGAAUUUACGGUGUAGCGGUGAAAUGCGUAGAUAAUCGUAAGGAAGACCAGUGGCGAAGGAC
rnacentral:rRNA from 1 species